rnacentral:lncRNA from 1 species
AAAAAACAAAAAAAAACAAAAAACAAAAAAAAAAAAUUUUUUUUUUCUGUAAAGACUAACUUAGGACAAAUUUGAGUCGAAGAUGGCAGGAUAUAGAGAAUGUAGUCUCUCUAGAAACGCAUCUUCUUAAUCUUAAGGGUGUUGUUAAAAAAAAAAAAUUGACUUUUUCUUCAUUUUUGUUAUCUUCUUUUAAGCUUCUGCAUCAAGUUCAGGUAAGAUCUCCUCUUCUUCUUCUUUUAUUAUUCUCUUUUAUGUUCUGCAUCAAGUUCAGGUGAGAUCUCUUCUUCUUCUUCUUUUAUUAUUCUCUUUUAUUUUUAUUUUUUUGCAUAUCUGUAAAAUUAUAAAAUGUUAAGAUAAUGUUUAGAUUAGGUUGUGGGGUGGGGAUAAUUGACGUAUGUUUUAAAUAUGUGUGUUGUUUUUCUCUUUUCUCUUUUCUUUUCUUUGUUAAAAAAACAAAAAAAAAUUUGUUUUUU